CAGCAGCCGCGGUAAUACGAAGGGGGCUAGCGUUGCUCGGAAUGACUGGGCGUAAAGGGCGCGUAGGCGGCGAUCAAAGUCAGGCGUGAAAUUCCUGGGCUCAACCUGGGGGCUGCGCUUGAUACUUGGUUGCUUGAGUGGGGAAGAGGGUCGUGGAAUUCCCAGUGUAGAGGUGAAAUUCGUAGAUAUUGGGAAGAACACCGGUGGCGAAGGCGGCGACCUGGUCCUUGACUGACGCUGAGGCGCGAAAGCGUGGGGAGCAAACAGGAUUAGAUACCCCCGUAGUCCCUGUCUCUUAUAC
rnacentral:rRNA from 1 species